rfam:Salmo salar isolate Sally breed double haploid chromosome ssa27, whole genome shotgun sequence.
GGCCGAUUAGCACAGUUGGUUAGAGCGUGGUGCUAAUAACGCCAAGGUCGUGGGUUCGAUCCCCAUACUGGCCA